rnacentral:rRNA from 1 species
CAGUCGCCGCGGUAAAACGAAGGGGGCUAGCGUUGCUCGGAAUCACUGGGCGUAAAGGGCGCGUAGGCGGACUGAUAAGUCAGGGGUGAAAUCCCAAGGCUCAACCUUGGAACUGCCUUUGAUACUGUUCGUCUUGAGUUCGAGAGAGGUAAGUGGAACUGCGAGUGUAGAGGUGAAAUUCGUAGAUAUUCGCAAGAACACCAGUGGCGAAGGCGGCUUACUGGCUCGAAACUGACGCUGAGGCGCGAAAGCGUGGGGAGCAAACAGGAUUAGAUACCCGCGUAGUCCCUGUCUCUUAUAC